rnacentral:rRNA from 1 species
GACGAACGCUGGCGGCGUGCCUAAUACAUGCAAGUAGAACGCUGAAGGAGGAGCUUGCUUCUCUGGAUGAGUUGCGAACGGGUGAGUAACGCGUAGGUAACCUGCCUGGUAGCGGGGGAUAACUAUUGGAAACGAUAGCUAAUACCGCAUAGUAGUAGAUGUUGCAUGACAUUUGCUUAAAAGGUGCAAUUGCAUCACUACCAGAUGGACCUGCGUUGUAUUAGCUAGUUGGUGGGGUAACGGCUCACCAAGGCGACGAUACAUAGCCGACCUGAGAGGGUGAUCGGCCACACUGGGACUGAGACACGGCCCAGACUCCUACGGGAGGCAGCAGUAGGGAAUCUUCGGCAAUGGACGGAAGUCUGACCGAGCAACGCCGCGUGAGUGAAGAAGGUUUUCGGAUCGUAAAGCUCUGUUGUAAGAGAAGAACGAGUGUGAGAGUGGAAAGUUCACACUGUGACGGUAUCUUACCAGAAAGGGACGGCUAACUACGUG